GAUGAACGCUGGCGGCGUGCCUAAUACAUGCAAGUCGAGCGAACAGAUGAGGAGCUUGCUCCUCUGACGUUAGCGGCGGACGGGUGAGUAACACGUGGAUAACCUACCUAUAAGACUGGGAUAACUUCGGGAAACCGGAGCUAAUACCGGAUAAUAUAUUGAACCGCAUGGUUCAAUAGUGAAAGACGGUUUUGCUGUCACUUAUAGAUGGAUCCGCGCCGCAUUAGCUAGUUGGUAAGGUAACGGCUUACCAAGGCAACGAUGCGUAGCCGACCUGAGAGGGUGAUCGGCCACCCUGGAACUGAGACGCGGUCCAGACUCCUACGGGAGGCAGCAGUAUGGAAGCUUCCGCAAUGGGCGAAAGCCUGACGGAGCAACGCCGCGUGAGUGAUGAAGGUCUUCGGAUCGUAAAACUCUGUUAUUAGGUAAGAACAAAUGUGUAAGUAACUAUGCACGUCUUGACGGUACCUAAUCAGAAAGCCACGGCUAACUACGGG
rnacentral:rRNA from 1 species